rnacentral:rRNA from 1 species
ACACGUGAGCAACCUGCCUUUCAGUGGGGGGACGAACAUUUGGAAACGAAUGCUAAUACCGCAUAAGACCACAGUGUCGCAUGGCACAGGGGGUCAAAGGAUUUAUCCGCUGAAAGAUGGGCUCGCGUCCGAUUAGCUAGAUGGUGAGGUAACGGCCCACCAUGGCGACGAUCGGUAGCCGGACUGAGAGGUUGAUCGGCCACAUUGGGACUGAGACACGGCCCAGACUCCUACGGGAGGCAGCAUG